GAACGCUUCUUUUUCCACCGGAGCUUGCUCCACCGGAAAAAGAGGAGUGGCGAACGGGUGAGUAACACGUGGGUAACCUGCCCAUCAGAAGGGGAUAACACUUGGAAACAGGUGCUAAUACCGUAUAACAAUCGAAACCGCAUGGUUUUGAUUUGAAAGGCGCUUUCGGGUGUCGCUGAUGGAUGGACCCGCGGUGCAUUAGCUAGUUGGUGAGGUAACGGCUCACCAAGGCCACGAUGCAUAGCCGACCUGAGAGGGUGAUCGGCCACAUUGGGACUGAGACACGGCCCAAACUCCUACGGGAGGCAGCAGUAGGGAAUCUUCGGCAAUGGACGAAAGUCUGACCGAGCAACGCCGCGUGAGUGAAGAAGGUUUUCGGAUCGUAAAACUCUGUUGUUAGAGAAGAACAAGGAUGAGAGUAACUGUUCAUCCCUUGACGGUAUCUAACCAGAAAGCCACGGCUAACUACGUGCCAGCAGCCGCGGUAAUACGUAGGUGGCAAGCGUUGUCCGGAUUUAUUGGGCGUAAAGCGAGCGCAGGCGGUUUCUUAAGUCUGAUGUGAAAGCCCCCGGCUCAACCGGGGAGGGUCAUUGGAAACUGGGAGACUUGAGUGCAGAAGAGGAGAGUGGAAUUCCAUGUGUAGCGGUGAAAUGCGUAGAUAUAUGGAGGAACACCAGUGGCGAAGGCGGCUCUCUGGUCUGUAACUGACGCUGAGGCUCGAAAGC
rnacentral:rRNA from 1 species